CGGCGCGGCGGCGUGGGGAGGGAGGUAGGAGCCGAGAGCCGAGGCGGCCGGCUCUGCGGUGACUGGGGAUCCUCGGGCCCUGCCCGCCGUCUGAGGGGGUCACCUGCGCGGCCGUGCGCUGGAGUCACCGAGGAGUCCCGCCGUGCCGGUGGGCGGGGGAGCGUGUCGAGGAGACUCGCGCAGCCCGGGACAGGCACAGAUGGAAGGUCAGCGCUUGUGAAGCUUUGUGCGCCCGGGGCAGAGGGGUCUUUUUUGGAGUCCUUCUAAAGCUUCACGCUGGCUUCAUCAGACUGUUUCUGCAUUUCUCUUAAUUUGCACUGCAUUGUGGAUUCCUCACAAAGAAAAGAAAAUAGAAUAACCUCAUGCCACUUAAUACCACUGAGGUGAUGUCAACUGUUCAAAUUAGUAGAAGAAUUGGAAGCUGAUCUCACAUGCAAAAUCUUUACCUUGUGAAUUAUUCUGCAAGACUAGUUAUAUUUGUUCUAGAUAAAGUGCUAUGCGAAAACACUGUUUCUGAGAAAUAUCUAUAGCAUCAAGAGAAGUAAUUGGACUGUUGGAAGCAGAGGAGUGUUGGUACAAGUUUUGAUGUCUUGUUCUCCUCCACUAACCUUUGUCACAGUGGAAGGAAGGGAUGCCAUUCAGAGGGACCUCAACAGACCUGAAAGGUGGGCCUGGGUAAAUCUAAUGAGGUUCAACACAACAAAGUGCAAGGUUUUGCACUUGGGCUGGAGGAAUCCCAGGCAUAUAUACAGACUGGAAGGAGCAAUCCUUGAGAGUAGCCCUGCAGAGAAGGUCCUGAUGGAUGAAAAACUGAACAUGAGCCAGCAGCAUGCUCUAGCAGCUCGGAAAGCAAAUGGUAUCCUGGGCUCCAUCAGAAGAGGGGUGGCCAUCAGGGACAGGGAGGUGAUGGUCGCUCUCUACUAUGCCCCUGUGAGGCCUCAUCUGGAGUAGUACAUCCAGGUCUGGAGCCCCCAGUACAAGGACAGGGAGCUGUUGGAGAGGGCCCAGAGGAGAGCCACAAAGAUUGUCAGAGGGCUGGAGCACCUCCCCUACGAAGACAGGCUGAGGGAGCUGGGCUUGUUCAGCCUGGAGAAGAGAAGGCUGCAAGGCAACCUCAUAGCAGCCUUUCAGUACCUAAAGGGAGCCUAUAAAUAGGAGGAGAGUCAACUCUUUGAAAGGGUGGAUAACAACAGGACAAGGGGAAAAGGUUUUAAGUAGAAGGAGGGAAGAUUUAGGUUGGAUGUCAGGGGGAAGUUCUUUGCUACGAGAGUGGUGAGGUGCUGGAACAGGCUGCCCAGAGAGGUUGUGGAUGCCCCGUCCCUGGAGGUGUUUAGGGCCAGGGCCAGGUUGGAUGGGGCCCUGGGCAGCCUGGUCUAGUAUUAAAUGUGGAGGUUGGUGGCCCUGCCUGUGGCAGGGGAGGUUGGAGCUUCAUGAUCCUUGAGGUCCCUUUCAACCCGAGCCAUUCUGUGAUUCUGUGAUUGUAAGCUGUUCUUUUCUCUUCUCUCUCUCUCUCUCCUUUUUUUUUUUUUUUUUUUUUUUUCCUUUCCCCUUAGGAGCUAUGCUGAAUCUCAAGCAGAGUAUGGCAUUACUUGUGUAGACCACCUCAGUGUAGGUUGUGUUAAAACAACAUCAUCCUAGGUGCUCUGAGCAGUCACCCUUAUCAUGAGAGGCUCUGUUAGCUAUCUUAUGAAAUGAGAAGGUUGGAAGCAGAGAGCAUGGAACAGAGAAAGAGUGGGCUGCCUACAAUUGUCCCUUCUAUAAUAAUUCAUUUAGAUUGGGUUCUAAUCUAGCUGUGUGGUAGAAGGAUGCAGCUUGCUUGUCAAAAAGCAUUCACAGCCAGUGUUUUAACACAGAACUCUGCUGAAGCAGAGAUGCCAUUAGCAGAGCAAAGAUCCUGCAAACAUUUGUCUUAGUUAAGGCAUCUCCCGUGCUGAUCUCUAAAACACAGAUUUUAAAAGGAAAGGAAGAAAAAGGAGCAAGAAAGGAAAAACUUAUUUUAGGAACUUAUUACCCGGACAGAAAUAGGAUCUACUACAUUUCUUCUGAAAAGAGUCUUAAAUGUGUGCUGCUGAUGGGUGAAACAGCUGUCUCCAGGUACCCACAGACAGUCUUUGUUCCUAUGUUGCAGCUUCAUAGUCAUUCUCUGGGAUGCUUCUGCUUUGACUUCUGCAGCCUUCCUCCUUUUAAUCCUGUGCCUGGAUGAAGACUAUCAGAUACCACCCCGGUGUGGCUGGGAAAGGAACAUCCAUUCCAUCAGCUCUGCUUCUUGCCUCCUUGCUGGCAGAGUUCAUGUUGCCAGAAGAGAGUAUUUACGUCUAAAACGUGUUCAAACCAACUGAGGUACCUGCUCUAAAAACUGCUAAUCCUUUGAAAGGUGGCAGCAGAGGGGCAGUCUGACAAAAUGGCGUCUGGCAUGGAAAUGAAUACAAAAUGGAGGUGUGUCACUGGAUUCCUCAAUGUGGAAAUAGUCACAACCACUGAUAUUCAUCAAUGCCUGCUGAAUGUUGAUGGAAACCAAACAGUGGAGGAGAGGCAGUGGCAACAGCAGGACACUG
ensembl:lncRNA